rnacentral:rRNA from 1 species
AUGAACGCUGGCGGCGUGCCUAAUACCUGCAAGUCGCGCGAACAGACGAGGAGCUUGCUCCUCUGACGUUAGCGGCGGACGGGUGAGUAACACGUGGAUAACCUACCUAUAAGACUGGGAUAACUUCGGGAAACCGGAGCUAAUACCGGAUAAUAUAUUGAACCGCAUGGUUCAAUAGUGAAAGACGGUUUUGCUGUCACUUAUAGAUGGAUCCGCGCCGCAUUAGCUAGUUGGUAAGGUAACGGCUUACCAAGGCGACGAUGCGUAGCCGACCUGAGGGGGUGAUCGGCCACACUGGAACUGAGACACGGUCCAGACUCCUACGGGAGGCAGCAGUAGGGAAUCUUCCGCAAUGGGCGAAAGCCUGACGGAGCAACGCCGCGUGAGUGAUGAAGGUCUUCGGAUCGUAAAACUCUGUUAUUAGGGAAGAACAAAUGUGUAAGUAACUAUGCACGUCUUGACGGUACCUAAUCAGAAAGCCACGGCUAACUACGUG